UACGUAGGGUGCGAGCGUUAUCCGGAAUUAUUGGGCGUAAAGAGCUCGUAGGCGGUUUGUCGCGUCUGCUGUGAAAGCCCAGGGCUUAACCCUGGGUUUGCAGUGGGUACGGGCAGGCUGGAGUGCAGUAGGGGAGACUGGAAUUCCUGGUGUAGCGGUGAAAUGCGCAGAUAUCAGGAGGAACACCGAUGGCGAAGGCAGGUCUCUGGGCUGUUACUGACGCUGAGGCACGAAAGCGUGGGGAGCAAACAGGAUUAGAUACCCCGUA
rnacentral:rRNA from 1 species